rnacentral:rRNA from 1 species
UACGUAGGGUGCGAGCGUUGUCCGGAAUUAUUGGGCGUAAAGAGCUCGUAGGCGGUUUGUCGCGUCGGCCGUGAAAUCUCCACGCUUAACGUGGAGCGUGCGGUCGAUACGGGCAGACUUGAGUUCGGUAGGGGAGACUGGAAUUCCUGGUGUAGCGGUGAAAUGCGCAGAUAUCAGGAGGAACACCCGUGGCGAAAGCGGCUCUCUGGGACGGUACUGACGCUGAGACGCGAAAGCGUGGGGAGCAAACAGG